UAAUACAGAGGUGCCGAGCGUUAGGCGGAAUCACUGGGCUUAAAGCGUGUGUAGGCGGGUCGUUAAGUACCUUGUGAAAUCCCACGGCUCAACCGUGGAACUGCUGGGUAUACUGGCGAUCUUGAGCAGUCUAGGGGCGAGCGGAACAAACGGUGGAGCGGUGAAAUGCGUAGAUAUCGUUUGGAACGCCGACGGUGAAAACAGCUCGCUGGGGACUUGCUGACGCUGAGACACGAAAGCCAGGGGAGCGAACGGGAUUAGAUACCCCGGUAGUCCUGGCCCUAAACGAUGUCCACUAGAUCAUGGCUCCUCUGACGGAGUCAUGGUCGAAGCAAAAGUGCUAAGUGGACCGCCUGGGAAGUACGGUCGCAAGGCUA
rnacentral:rRNA from 1 species